CUACUUUAUGAACAUGGCAUUGCCAUCCACACAUGUUUUCCUCAUGCGAAACAUCAUCCACCAUUACAAUGUCAGAAAAAACGAGAAACGUCUUCAUGACAUAAAAAAGGAAUUCAACACAAACAUUCACAUGAAUGACCACAGCCAGGUUGUGUUAGAAAAUCCAUCCUCCACAGAGAAAUGAAUGGACAUGUCACUUGGUCCACUGACAGCACUGCCAGAAAAUAUUGUGACUUUACAAACGACCGCUGCAUCACCAGGCAUAACAUCAGUCACAUCUCCUCUGUCAUCAGUACCAAUUACAGAAAAAACAGCUUGUGAACCUACCACUCUUCUGAAUUUUUUGGAACCUACUAAGCCUUGGGAGAGGGACUGGCAUCCAUUACAAGAGAAACUGCUUGAUUAUGUGCUGGACCGAAAUCGCCCUGGCAGUGAAAUAAUUGUGAAGGAGGGGCAAGUGUGCCUUAUUCGAGAAGAAUUUUGGAGCCUUGGAUUGUUGAGGGACAUGGACUUCCAUAUUGGAAACGCCUGCAUGAAGCUUAUUUGUAAAAUGGCUCGACAAAUUGGCAAGGACAUAUACAUUGAGGACUUUUAUGUUUUCCCUGUGUGGAAAGAAACUCCUAACAACAUUGUUACUGGAUUACCGGAAGAUGCAGACUUGAAAAACCUGUUAGCCUUUCCAGCAUGGACAAAUGCCAAUGGACCAGACCACUUUGUUGUCUGUGAAAAUUGCUUACCAAGUGGAUCAUGGGACAUGGUCUGAAAAGACUGGAUAUGAUUUUCCAGCUUUGCCACGUCAGACAAGAGGGAAUGAUUGUGGUGUUUUUGUACUCAUGUACACCCUCUCAAUGGUGUGUGGCAUUGGGUUUCAAUUCCAGGAGAUGGAUAUACCUAUCAUCCGUCAGUGGUGGUGCCUUCUACUCAUGGAACAAUUUCAAACUGAUGGGUAUGUCAGUAUUUAUUUAUUUUUCUUGUAAAUCUGUAAAAUUAAAAAUUUAUAUUGUGUCAAUACAACAACUUGUAACAUGAAUAACAAAACAUACUUAAAAUCUCUCUUACCAGUGACCAGUAU